rnacentral:rRNA from 1 species
GAUGAACGCUGGCGGCGUGCCUAAUACAUGCAAGUCGAGCGAAGCGUGCACGGGUGAGUAUCACGUGUAUUACCUCCUAUAAGACUGGGGUACCUUCGUGGAACCCGAGCUCAAUCGGAUACUUAUAGUUGGAUCCGCGCUGCAUUAGCUAGUUGGUAAGGUAACGGCUUACAAAGGCAACGAUGCAUGGCCGACCUGAGAGGGGGAUCGGCCACAUGGGAACUGAGACACGGUCCGGACUCCUAGGGGAGGCAGCAGUAGGGAAUCUUCCGCAAUGGGCGAAAGCCUGACGGGGAACCGCCGCGUGAGUGAUGCAGGUCUUCGGAUCGUAAAACUCUGUUAUUAGGGAAGCGGUACCUAAUCAGAAAGCCACGGCUAACUACGUGCCAGCAGCCGCGGUAAUUC